rfam:Pongo abelii chromosome 6.
AAAUUCUAACUUUGAGGAGCCAUUUUCAUAGUUUGUUACUAGAGAAGUUUCUCUGAACAUGGAGUGUACCAGAAAGCAUGAGGAGGAAGUGCAGUGUUCUUGCCUUAGCUGUGAAAUCGGUUGCUUCAUUGCAACCACCAUUUUUCACUGAUGGCCCAUCUUCUCUUUCUUUGGGAGAAUAAGAAGGGGAAGAUGCAGUCUGAGUGGU